GAUGAACGCUGGCGGCGUGCCUAAUACAUGCAAGUCGAGCGAAUGGAUUAAGAGCUUGCUCUUAUGAAGUUAGCGGCGGACGGGUGAGUAACACGUGGGUAACCUGCUCAUAAGACUGGGAUAACUCCGGGAAACCGGGGCUAAUACCGGAUAACAUUUUGAACCGCAUGGUUCGAAAUUGAAAGGCGGCUUCGGCUGUCACUUAUGGAUGGACCCGCGUCGCAUUAGCUAGUUGGUGAGGUAAUGGCUCACCAAGGCAACGAUGCGUAGCCGACCUGGGAGGGUGAUCGGCCACACUGGGACUGAGACACGGCCCAGACUCCUACGGGAGGCAGCAGUAGGGAAUCUUCCGCAAUGGACGAAAGUCUGACGGAGCAACGCCGCGUGAGUGAUGAAGGCUUUCGGGUCGUAAAACUCUGUUGUUAGGGAAGAACAAGUGCUAGUUGAAUAAGCUGGCACCUUGACGGUACCUAACCAGAAAGCCACGGCUAACUACGUGCCAGCCGCCGCCGUAA
rnacentral:rRNA from 1 species